GAAAAAUAUAUGGAAGCAACCGGAUAGCCCAGCAGAUACUUCUGUGCAUUGCGGGGCAUUGGACUACCCAUCCAAAUUAAGAGAGGCCGACCUGGAGAGACUUAGGAUAGAGUAUAGGAUCCCUGAUAGCAUAGAUUUGAUCCUUCCCGAGCCGGAAGAGAGAGCCUGCUACCCUAAGCCGGGUUGUGUGGCCAUUAGCGAGGCGAUCCUUAGGGCCGGACAUAGGCUGUCAGUUCACCCAUUCUUUAGGAUGGUGCUUAGAUCCUAUGGGCUAGCCCCGACGCAACUCAAUACGAACUCCUGGAGCCAAAUGGUGGGCUCCUGGAUGUUGUGGAAAGAAGCGUCAUUAGGGGUGGAGAUGCCCCUCUCUGUCUUCCAGACCCUUUAUAUACCUAAGGUAACUAUCGGGAGGGAUAAGACCCGGGGAUGGUAUUGCCUUACUUCAUGGGGUUUCCACACUCCAUUCAUGCUCGAUCUGUCGAGCUCCAUCAAAGAAUGGAAGAGCUCGUGGUGUUGGGCCGCAGGGCGAUGAGACACGAUGGAGGGGAUCCCCUGGCACCUCUUACAGUCCCGACGAAGUACUCAACACUUAGUGAGUAUAGUAGUUGUUUUUCCUUAUAUUUCUCUUCGGUUCGAAUUGUGCCUAACAUUUACAUUUCCUUUGUAGGUGCUCUUCCUCGGUGCGAACUGUCAUCCGAGGACUUUGAAAUCAUAUGUAUCAUUUAUCAGCUGACUCAAAAGAAGAGGUCUUACCAUAGGUUGAUCCGAAAGAACAUCCACUUCAUUACUCACGAUCUGAUGGCAUCCCAAGGUAAUUGGACUGAAGUCUUUACCCUUUAUUCUGAACUCUCAACACUUGUACUAAUUCAUCAUUCGCUCUUUCCAGACAACUUUAAUAAGAUGAUGUCGGUGCGCCCCGACUUUAAGACCAUCCAGAAGAUGAUGGCAGAGGCACAGGCGUUGAUGGCCUCCUCCUCUUACAAAAAGCAAAUGGAGGAUUUGGUGGAAGCCAGUAAGAGGCUUCAGCCUCCGACGGAGGAGGAGGUACCGGAGGACCUGGAGGCUGACCUUCAGAGGAAGGGCAAGAAGAGUGCCGCCCCUCCAAAACGUCCAACUGUAGCGAGGCCACCCCCUGCUCUGAGGCAAACCACAAUUCUCACCGGGGUGGCUACUCCAGAGAAGAGGCCCGCCCCACCUGAGCCUGCCACUACCCCGGCCACAACACCCCUCGCUACCGCGCCAAUUGAUCAAGUGCCAGGGCAGCAGAAGAGGAAGAGUCCCUGUCCCUCUAAGGAGGUCGACUUUCUGGGCACAAACUUGGAGGAGCCCGUAAGGGAAGUGUUGGAGGCUCUUCCUCCAGAAACAGCUGCGGUGGCGGUCGUCUGUAGCAAAUACUGGAUUGAGGAGUGGAGGGACCACACCGCCUUCUGCACAGCUGAGGAUUUGGUGGCUGUAAAUAGCGCCGGCGUGGCUCGGGCCCUGAGUACAAGCAUCCAACUUGAGGGCUUGAUGAAGGAUCUGAACUCCAAGUGGGAGGACCUCGCCAAGCGCCUUGAGGAGGCGAUGCACUACGGGGAUACCGUGCGAGUUGCCCAGACCAAGGCCACGCAGGUGGAGGAGGGGAAGAAGGAAGCUGAGGCCCAGCUAACUGCCGCCAAAGCAGAAGUGGAGCGACUGAAGAAGGAGUUGUACAAGGUGGAGUGCCAAGUGGCUGCUGUGACUCGGCGGCUUGAUCACGCCAAUGAGCACCACAAGGUCGAUAUCGAGGCUCUGGAGGCCUCCAACAAAGAGAAGGCGGAGCUGAGGCAGAAGGCAGAGGCUCAGUCAGAGGAGAUUGCCUCUUUGAAAGAGAAGUUGAAGUCUGUAGGGGAGGUGGCAGCUCAGAACUUCAUCGACCACUUUGAAGACCAUCCCUUGUAUGAUGACUUUGCCAAUUUUUGGGCCUCAUGGAGUGCCCAAAGCUUAUUGGGUCGAGUGAAGGAGGUGCACCCCACUUUGGACAUCUCUUCAUUGGAGGCAGAGUUCGGGAGGCCAACUGGAGGUCGACCUGAUAGGCUUGCUGAGGAAGCUCCGGAGGCCCCAGAGGCUACCGAUGUAGAAGUCCCUCCAGCAGAAUAGGG
rnacentral:lncRNA from 1 species